GAUCGGGUACAUCGAGUUCCAGAGAAAUGCGGAGCUCGACCCGGAGAAGAGGUUGUACCCGGGCGGGUCCUACUUCGACCCGUUGGGGCUGGCGGCCGACCCGGAGAAGAAGGAGACGCUCCAGCUGGCCGAGAUCAAGCACGCCCGCCUCGCCAUGGUGGGCUUCCUGGGCUUCGCCGUCCAGGCCGCCGCCACCGGGAAGGGGCCGCUCAACAACUGGGUCACCCAUUUGAGCGACCCGCUCCACACCACCAUUUUGGACACCUUCGGCUUUUUCUCCUGAGCGGUUUCUAACUAUUAAUCUUUAUAUUUUGUUGAGAACAUAGUAAAUCAAUUUGCA
rnacentral:lncRNA from 1 species